rnacentral:rRNA from 1 species
GUCGAGGGGCAGCACGGUUUUCGGACUGGUGGCGACCGGCGCACGGGUGCGUAACGCGUAUGCAACCUACCUACAACAGGAGGAUAGCCCGGGGAAACUCGGAUUAAUAUUCCAUAAAGCAGGGGUACCGCCUGGUACUAUUUGCUAAAGAUUUAUCGGUUGUAGAUGGGCAUGCGUAUGAUUAGCUAGAUGGUGAGGUAAUGGCUCACCAUGGCGAUGAUCAUUAGGGGUUCUGAGAGGAUUAUCCCCCACACUGGUACUGAGAUACGGACCAGACUCCUACGGGAGGCAGCAGUAGGGAAUAUUGGUCAAUGGAGGCAACUCUGAACCAGCCAUGCCGCGUGCAGGAAGACGGCCUUCUGGGUUGUAAACUGCUUUUCUACAGGAAGAAACGGCCCUUGCGAGGGACAUUGACGGUACUGUAGGAAUAAGCACCGGCUAACUCCGUGCCAGCAGCCGCGGUAAUACGGAGGGUGCAAGCGUUGUCCGGAUUUAUUGGGUUUAAAGGGUACGUAGACGGCUAUAUAAGUCAGUGGUGAAAGACUUCAGCUUAACUGGAGAAGUGCCAUUGAUACUGUAUAGCUUGAGUAUGGUCGAGGUAGGCGGAAUUUAUGGUGUAGCGGUGAAAUGCAUAGAUACCAUAAAGAACACCGAUAGCGAAGGCAGCUUACUUGACCGUAACUGACGCUGAGGUACGAAAGCGUGGGUAGCGAACAGGAUUAGAUACCCUGGUAGUCCACGCUGUAAACGAUGAUCACUCGAUGUGUGCGAUAGACAGUACGCGUCUUAGCGAAAGUGAUAAGUGAUCCACCUGGGGAGUACGUCCGCAAGGAUGAAACUCAAAGGAAUUGACAGGGGUCCGCACAAGCGGUGGAGUAUGUGGUUUAAUUCGAUGCAACGCGAAGAACCUUACCAGGCUUGACAUGUCCAGUAUCCUGCCGAAAGGUGGGAGUGCCUUCAGGAACCGGAACACAGGUGGUGCAUGGCUGUCGUCAGCU